CCUUGAUAAACUGAGAGCCAGGGGUUUUCGGGGGCUUUUUCGUCGUUCUGGCAAUGUAAGCAGCUGUUAUGACACCAACGCUUGUUUAAUAAAUCGAAUAAGCCCAAAUUAGUCCUCAUUCAUCCCAUGCCCGACGGACGUCGGAGUUCUUCCGGGUGACCUCCGACUCGGAACCACAGGCGAAAAAAUCCGCCACACUACUUUUAAUUGAAUCACUUUCAUCCGACUCUACAACGCUUUGUUUGUGGUCAGUAUUUUGGUUUUUUUUUCUAUAUGAACAAAUUAUUACCGUAUCGGGGCUUUCUCCAAUGAAAAGUGGGCGGGGGAAAAGGGAGUUUACUGGCUCGACGACGUUUCUGAACUCGCUCGAACUGACCUUGAGAAGUGCAAGAAUGCAAACAACAAAGGAAACGAAGUUGCUCAAGGCAAAGGUUGUGCCCAUGAGGCCACAAAUAAGGGCCAAAACUUGGAUUAUGAGACCGGCUGGCACUGUGGAGAUGGAUGGCAGCCAUCUAAAUACAGCAGUCGCCAUUUCAGAUGGGAAAAUACAUUAUAAAAUGAUCAUGUUUGGAGGGCUGGCCUCAACCUUGAAGAGGGAAGAAGUUAUUUCUUCACCAAUUACGAUGUUGGGUCUGAAAGCCAAACUGCUGCUGACCAGGCCGAACACGAAAGUGAAUACAGGGCCAAAUGUUACUGUCUCAGCAGAGCUGGAGAAGGGAGGAAGGGAUGUACUUUUUUCUUGGUCUAUCUCCUCAUCUGUUCCCGAUGUGGUUGGCAAAAUGCCCGAUUCAUUGGUGACAUUGAAGGGACAUUUAACCGAUAUGCAAUGAUGAUCCUGAUAUGUCUAUCCCAAGCUAGUCUCCACCCCUCACCCCUGCCGCAGCGCAUAUUUGGAGUGACUUGUGGUCGACUCGGAUUCUGAAAAUCCUUAAGACAUCUCCUCAGGGAUGAGCGGGAGUAGCCCCUGUCACGGAGUGCCGUAAAGAGGACCCUCACCGCUGAUGAAAGUCCCCAUCCUGUGUACAGAUGUGUUUAAACCGCAAUAAUUGCGAUUUGAUUACCCCUGUAAAUGUGUGUUUUGGAUGAAAGCUAUCUCUAUGUAAUAGUGCAUGUGUGUCCGUUUGUUUCAAAAAAACUUUGAUGUCCAACUUUUUUUGUUCCUUAAAUCCUGGUCCUUUGGAAGUGGUUGUGUCCAAAAAAAAUCUAUUUUCUGUUUGUCAAAUAUGAAUUUUAUUCCAAUAGACGGCAUGUUAAAAAAAGUCUCCAAUUCCUUUUGUGGGCCAUUCCAUAUUCCCCAAAUGUCAUCCAGAUAUCUGAGGAAUUGAAGAAGUUUCUGUGGGCAUUUUGGGAGGACUCUCUCUUCCCAAACAGCCAUAAAUAUGUUGGCAUAGUCUGGUGCGAAUUUCUUGCCCGUGGUUGUGCCCUUGGUUUGCAGGUAGUCAUGGCCGUCGAAUUCAAAGUCGGUUCUUGUUAAAUUUAUUUCCAGUAGUUGUAGUAGUUCUUUGUCCGGUCGUCUGGAUGCCUUUUUGAAAAAUGUUUUUUUACGGCAUCGAAUCUUGAGCAUGUGUAGAGACUGUUUAUGUGGAUAGUCAAAAUGUAGCAUCAUGGGGAACUUCCAUUGUUUUAAUCUUUUCAAUAAAGUGAUAUGUAUCCUUUAUAUAAGACAUGUUUGGUGGAGAGUGGAUUCAGGUAGCAGUCCAAGAAUUCUGGCGUGUAGUACGUCUCACUACUAUAGUCGGACACGAUUGGUCUGCCAGGGGGGACGCUAAAAGGGACAGUCCAGUGUUGUGGGUCUUUGUGAAUUUUGGGAAGAAUGUAGAAUCUCCUGGUCCCCGGUUCUGUGUCUCCUUUUAGGUAUUUCUUUUGUUGUGCAUUAAUAAAUUUCUUUUCAUAGAGUUUUUGUAAAAUCUUCUUGACCAUUGGAAUUGUUUGGGGAAAGAUUGGUCUUUCCAAUUUUCGGUAAUAGUUGGUGUCAUUCAAUUGUUUGUAGGCUUCUGUUGUGUAUUGUUUUGGGCUGAGGACCACUACCGCACUUCCUUUGUCUGCUGGUUUUAUUACAAUUUGGUUGUUUUGGCGUAGUUCCCGGAGUGCCGAGAUUUCUUGUUGUGUUAGGUUCUUUUUUUUCUUGUUUGGUUCGGAAAAAUCUGAGGAAGUGUCUUCUGUCUUGUUCGAACAGGUCUUUUAUGGAGUCUGAUAAGGAACUGAUGGCUGGAGUCCAUGUUGAUGGAGGUUUAAAGGGUAGUGUUGUUUUUUAUUUGUCCCUUUAAAAUGGGAGGCCAACAUCAAUCUUCUGUGGUAAUUUUGGAUAUCAUAUUCUGUUUGUUUCGGGGGUUUAAGGUUGGAAUGAAGUUAAGCCCAUUGUCUAAAAGACUCAAUUGAGCUGUAGACAAAGUCGCAUCUUUUGCCAGUACGAUCACAUUCCGAACAGUUGUAGGUUUGAUCCCUUCUGUCCUGGGAGUAAGGGGACUCACAAGUUUAAGUAUGUGGUCGAGUAGAGCUGCUGCUGUGGACUUCGACCAAUGUAUUCCAUCUUUCUCCGUGGAGAAGUCCAAAUAGUGAAUUUU